AGAGUUUGAUCCUGGCUCAGAUUGAACGCUGGCGGCGUGCUUAACACAUGCAAGUCGAUCGGUAACGCGGGGGCAACCCUGGCGACGAGAGGCGGACGGGUGAGGAACGCUUGGGAAUCUGCCCAUCAGCGGGGGACAACCCGGGGAAACCCGGGCUAAUACCGCAUACGCUCUACGGAGGAAAGCCGGGGACCGCAAGGCCUGGCACUGAUGGAUGAGCCCAAGUCGGAUUAGCUAGUUGGUAGGGUAACGGCCCACCAAGGCGACGAUCCUUAGCUGGUCUGAGAGGACGAUCAGCCACACUGGGACUGAGACACGGCCCAGACUCCUACGGGAGGCAGCAGUGGGGAAUAUUGGACAAUGGGCGCAAGCCUGAUCCAGCAAUACCGCGUGUGUGAAGAAGGCCUGAGGGUUGUAAAGCACUUUCAAUGGGGAGGAAUACCUAUCGGUUAAUACCCGGUAGAAUGACAUUACUCAUAGAAGAAGCACCGGCUAACUCCGUGCCAGCAGCCGCGGUAAUACGGAGGGUGCGAGCGUUAAUCGGAAUUACUGGGCGUAAAGCGUACGUAGGCGGUUCGUUAAGUCAGAUGUGAAAGCCCUGGGCUUAACCUGGGAACUGCAUUUGAAACUGGCGGACUAGAGUUGAGUAGAGGUAAGUGGAAUUUCAGGUGUAGCGGUGAAAUGCGUAGAUAUCUGAAGGAACACCAGUGGCGAAGGCGACUUACUGGACUCAAACUGACGCUGAGGUACGAAAGCGUGGGUAGCAAACAGGAUUAGAUACCCUGGUAGUCCACGCCGUAAACGAUGUCAACUAGCCGUUGGGUCUCUUAGAGACAUAGUGGCGCAGCUAACGCAUUAAGUUGACCGCCUGGGGAGUACGGCCGCAAGGUUAAAACUCAAAUGAAUUGACGGGGGCCCGCACAAGCAGCGGAGCAUGUGGUUUAAUUCGAUGCAACGCGAAGAACCUUACCUAGACUUGACAUCCCCUGCAUUACUCGUAACUGAGGAAGUCCUUCGGGACAGGGAGACAGGUGGUGCAUGGUUGUCGUCAGCUCGUGUCGUGAGAUGUUAGGUUAAGUCCUGCAACGAGCGCAACCCUUAUCAUUAGUUGCUACCAUUCAGUUGAGCACUCUAGUGAGACUGCCCGGGUUAACCGGGAGGAAGGUGGGGAUGACGUCAAAUCAUCAUGCCCCUUAUGUCUAGGGCUACACACGUGCUACAAUGGUGAGUACAAAGAGAUGCAAUCCCGUGAGGGGGAGCCAAACUUAUAAAACUCAUCUCAGUUCGGAUUGUAGGCUGAAACUCGCCUACAUGAAGCUGGAGUUGCUAGUAAUCGUGAAUCAGCUACGCCACGGUGAAUACGUUCCCGGGCCUUGUACACACCGCCCGUCACGCCAUGAGAGCUGUGAGUGCCCGAAGUCCGUGGUCUAACCGUAAGGGGCCAAGCCGCCGAAGGCAAGCGCAGUGACUGGGGCGAAGUCGUAACAAGGUAGCCGUAGGGGAACCUGCGGCUG
rnacentral:rRNA from 1 species